rnacentral:rRNA from 2 species
GCAGUCGAACGCAUCCCGUUGAUUUGAAGUGCUUGCACUGAUAAUUAACAUCGGAUGAGUGGCGAACUGGUGAGUAACACGUGGGUAACUUGCCCAAAAGUAGGGGAUAACAUUUGGAAACAGGUGCUAAUACCGUAUAACAACGAAAAUCGCAUGAUUUUCGUUUGAAAGAUGGUUUCGGCUAUCACUUUUGGAUAGACCCGCGGUGCAUUAGCUAGUUGGUAGAGUAAUGGUUUACCAAGGCAAUGAUGCAUAGCCGACCUGAGAGGGUAAUCGGCCACAUUGGGACUGAGACACGGCCCAAACUCCUACGGGAGGCAGCAGUAGGGAAUCUUCCACAAUGGACGAAAGUCUGAUGGAGCAACGCCGCGUGAGUGAAGAAGGGUUUCGGCUCGUAAAACUCUGUUGUUGGAGAAGAACGAACGUGAGAGUAACUGUUCACGUUGUGACGGUAUCCAACCAGAAAGCCACGGCUAACUACGUGCCAGCAGCCGCGGUAAUACGUAGGUGGCAAGCGUUAUCCGGAUUUAUUGGGCGUAAAGAGAGUGCAGGCGGUUUGUUAAGUCUGAUGUGAAAGCCUUCGGCUCAACCGAAGAAGUGCAUUGGAAACUGAUAAACUUGAGUGCAGAAAAGGACAGUGGAACUCCAUGUGUAGCGGUGAAAU